rnacentral:rRNA from 1 species
UACGAAGGGUGCAAGCGUUACUCGGAAUUACUGGGCGUAAAGCGUGCGUAGGUGGUUUGUUAAGUCUGUUGUGAAAGCCCCGGGCUCAACCUGGGAAUGGCAAUGGAUACUGGCAAGCUAGAGUGCGGUAGAGGGUAGUGGAAUUCCCGGUGUAGCGGUGAAAUGCGUAGAGAUCGGGAGGAACACCGUGGCGAAGGCGGCUACC